rnacentral:rRNA from 1 species
UACAGGGGGUGCAAACGUUGCUCGGAAUCAUUGGGCGUAAAGCGCACGUAGGCGGUUCGUUAUGUCGGAUGUGAAAGCCCUUGGCUCAACUGAGGAAGUGCACCCGAAACUGGCGAGCUUGAGUACGAAAGAGGAUCGCGGAAUUCCCGGUGUAGAGGUGAAAUUCGUAGAUAUCGGGAGGAACACCGGGUGGCGAAGGCGGCGAUCUGGGUCGAUACUGACGCUGAGGUGCGAAAGCGU